rnacentral:rRNA from 1 species
GAUGAACGCUGGCGGCGUGCCUAAUACAUGCAAGUCGAGCGAACGGACGAGAAGCUUGCUUCUCUGAUGUUAGCGGCGGACGGGUGAGUAACACGUGGAUAACCUACCUAUAAGACUGGGAUAACUUCGGGAAACCGGAGCUAAUACCGGAUAAUAUUUUGAACCGCAUGGUUCAAAAGUGAAAGACGGUCUUGCUGUCACUUAUAGCUGGAUCCGCGCUGCAUUAGCUAGUUGGUAAGGUAACGGCUUACCAAGGCAACGAUGCAUAGCCGACCUGAGAGGGGGAUCGGCCACACUGGAACUGAGACACGGUCCAGACUCCUACGGGAGGCAGCAGUAGGGAAUCUUCCGCAAUGGGCGAAAGCCUGACGGAGCAACGCCGCGUGAGUGAUGAAGGUCUUCGGAUCGUAAAACUCUGUUAUUAGGGAAGAACAUAUGUGCAAGUAACUGUGCACAUCUUGACGGUACCUAAUCAGAAAGCCACGGCUAACUACGUG